rnacentral:rRNA from 1 species
UACAGAGGGGGCAAGCGUUGUUCGGAAUUACUGGGCGUAAAGGGCGCGUAGGCGGCCCGCUAAGUCGAACGUGAAAUCCCUGGGCUCAACCCAGGAACUGCGUCCGAUACUGGCAGGCUUGAAUCCGGGAGAGGGAUGCGGAAUUCCAGGUGUAGCGGUGAAAUGCGUAGAUAUCUGGAGGAACACCGGUGGCGAAGGCGGCAUCCUGGACCGGCAUUGACGCUGAGGCGCGAAAGCCAGGGGAGCGAACGGG